rnacentral:lncRNA from 1 species
ACACCUAAGAAAUAAAGCUGAAGUACUCAAUGAUAAAUUGGUCUGUAUCAUACAUAAAUAUUUAGUAAAUGUAACCUUUGCAUCCUGCUAUUGCUUCACACUUGCAAGACAGCUCUUGUAAUUUCUUUUUCAAUAUCCAUCUUUAUCGCAAUUGAAAUAGGUACCUUUGAUGGAGACAUUCUUUACCUUUUUCUCCUCGAAAAUGCUAUCCAUAAACUAAGAGAAAGAAUUAGAAAGUGAUUGCAGGAUCAAAUCCUGACUCAACUCACCAUCCAUGACAAAACCAAACUGACCUAAUCGCAUGAUUAAGUCAAUCAGGAUACACUUGACAAACGUAUUGUCAUCCCACCAUAUCUUAUAUGCGAUUCUUUUCUCCUUUAUAGCAUCAUUCU